rnacentral:rRNA from 1 species
GUCAAAUAUAUUAAGGCUUACGGUGGAUACCUAGGCAUUCAGAGACGAUGAAGGGCGUGGAUACCGACGAAACGCUUCGGGGAGUUGGAAACAAGCAUUGAUCCGAAGAUUCCCGAAUGGGGAAACCUGUAAAACUGCUUAUUGAAUUCAUAGAUAAGUAAGAGAUAACUUGCUGAACUGAAACAUCUUAGUAAGCAAAGGAAGAGAAAGCAAACGCGAUUUCCUUAGUAGCGGCGAGCGAAACGGAAACAGCCUAAACCUAAUUGAUUUAUUGAUUGGGGGUCGUGGGAAGAAAAAAAGUUAUAUCUAGAUAUAUUUGCCAAAUAGAGAAUCGGAUUUCUUCCGAUUCCGGUCAAAACGAAGCAGCUGAAUCCUGCACCAAAGAAGGUGAAAGUCCUGUAGUUGGAAAGCCAAUCUAUUUGUUUCUAAUCCCGAGUAGCAUGGGGCACGUGAAAUCCCGUGUGAAUCCGCGAGGACCACCUCGUAAGGCUAAAUACUCCUGAAUGACCGAUAGCGAAAUAGUACCGUGAGGGAAAGGUGAAACAGAACCCCAGUCGGGGAGUGAAAAAGAACAUGAAACCGUAAGCUGACAAACAGUGGGAGCGCAAGUGACCGCAUGCCUGUUGAAGAAUGAGCCGGCGACUUAUAGGGAGUGGCUUGGUUAAGGCAAAAAGCCGGAGCCAAAGCGAAAGCAAGUCUGAAUAGGGCGCUUGUCACUUUUUAUGGACCCGAACCUGAGUGAUCUAACCAUGGCCAGGAUGAAUCUUGGGUAACACCAAAUGGAAGACCGAACCGACCGAUGUUGAAAAAUCGGCGGAUGAGCUGUGGUUAGGGGUGAAAUUCCAGUCGAACUCAGAGCUAGCUGGAUCUCCUCGAAAUGUGUUGAGGCGCAGCGGUUGAUGAUGGGCUAGUUAGGGGUAAAGCACUGUUUCGGUGCGGGCUGCGAAAGCGGUACUAAAUCGUCGCAAACUAAGAAUACUAACUAUGCUUUCCAUCAACCAGUAAGACAGUGGGGGAUAAGCUUCAUUGUCAAAAGGGAAACAGCCCAGACCACCAGCUAAGGCCCCUAAAUGGCCGCUAAGUGGCAAAGGAGGUGAAAAUGCAAAGACAACCAGAAGGUUUGCUUAGAAGCAGCCACCCUUAAAAGAGUGCGUAAUAGCUCACUGGUAGAGCGUUUUUGCGCCGAAAAUGAACGGGACUAAGCGGCCUGCCGAAGCUGUGGGAUUGAAAACAUUUUGAAUCGGUAGAGGAGCGUUCUGCUGUAGGGUGAAGUUCAAACGUGAGUUUGGAUGGACGACGCAGAAGUGAGAAUGUCGGCUUGAGUAACGCAAACAUUGGUGAGAAUCCAAUGGCCCGAAAACCUAAGGGUUCCUUUACAAGGCUCGUCCAUGAAGGGUUAGUCAGGUCCUAAGGCGAGGUCGAAAGGCGUAGUCGAUGGAAAACAGGUCAACAUUCCUGUACUUCUUUUUAUUUGGUGCCGAGGGACGGAGAUGGUAACGGUUAGUUGAGAUUUGGAAUUCUCAAUCCAAGUGUUCGAGUUGUUGAGAGGUCGAAGAAAAACGGUCCUUGAGAUAAGGCACGAUAGGACGGUUACCUCGUGUAAUCGUUUAGCUAGAAUCCUACUUCCAAGAAAAGCUCGCAGUACUUUACAAUGAAAAGAACCUGUACCCGAAACCGACACAGGUAGGUAGGUAGAGAAUACUAAGGGCCGCGAGAUAACUCUCUCUAAGGAACUCGGCAAAAUGGCCCCGUAACUUCGGGAGAAGGGGUGGCUACUCGUAAGAGAGCUCGCAGUGACCAGGCCCAGGCGACUGUUUAUCAAAAACACAGGUCUCCGCAAAGUUGCAAAACGACGUAUGGGGGCUGACGCCUGCCCAGUGCCGGAAGGUAAAGGAAGUUGGUUAUUUGACUCUUGAGUUUGAAGAAGCUAACGACCGAAGCCCCGGUAAACGGCGGCUGUAACUCUGACAGUCCUAAGGUAGCGAAAUUCCUUGCCAAGUAAGUUUUGGCCCGCACGAAAGGCGUAACGAUCUGGGCGCUGUCUCGGAGAGAGACUCGGUGAAAUAGAAAUGUCUGUGAAGAUGCGGACUACCUAUACCAGGACAGAAAGACCCUAUGAAGCUUGAAGGUAGCUUGGAAUUGGGUUUGGGCUCUUUUUGCGCAGUCUAGGUGGGAGGCGUUGAAGGUAGGGUUUCGGCCCUAUUUGAGCCAUCAGUGAGAGACCACUCUGAAAGAGCUAGAAUCCUAAUAGUACUCCUUGAAGCAGGAUACUUGACAGUUUCAGGCGGACCUUUUUUCUGGGGCGGAUGCCUGCUAAAAGGUAACGGAGGUGUGCAAAGGUUCCCUCAGGCUGGACGGAAAUCAGCUGUAGAGUGUAAAGGUAGAAGGGAGCUUGACUGCAAGACCUACAAGUCGAGCAGGGGCGAAAGCCGGCCUUAGUGAUCCGACGGUACCGAGUGGAAGGGCCGUCGCUCAACGGAUAAAAGUUACUCUAGGGAUAACAGGCUGAUCUCCCCCAAGAGUUCGCAUCGACGGGGAGGUUUGGCACCUCGAUGUCGGCUCAUCGCAACCUGGAGCUGUAGUCGGUUCCAAGGGUUGGGCUGUUCGCCCAUGAAAGCGGUACGUGAGCUGGGUUCAGAACGUCGUGAGACAGUUCGGUCCAUAUCCGGUAUAGGCGUAAGAGCAUUGAGAGGAUCUCAACAUUGUACGAGAGGACCCGAAGGGACGUACCGAUGGUGUACCAGUUCUUGUGCCAACGGGAAACGCUGGGUAGCUAAGUACGGAAUGGAUAAUCGCUGAAAGCAUCUAAGUGAGAAGCCUACUUCAAGAUGAAUGCUCUCUAUCAGAUCACGGCAAGACAAGCCGUUGAUAGGCGUCAAGUGGAAGAUCUGUAAGGGUUGAAGCUGAGACGUACUAAUUGAUCGAUCGAUUUUGAC